GUGCCCGCAACCCAGGUACAUGCCCUUGCCCGGAAUGGAACCCUCCCGGGACCCCCUCGGUCCGCAGGCCGACGCUCUAUCCACUGAGCCACACCGGUCAGGGCGCCCCGGGCAUUCUUAACCAUCCCCAUGCUAUGCUACUAGCAUCCUUGCCUUCUGUUCUAAUUUAAACCUGAGCCAGCAGGCAACUUUCUCUUUACCUUUUGACCCCUGUUUGCUCGCCCUAAUCACAGAGCAGAGCCUCCUUCUCAGCGGGAGGUGUACAGAGAUCCCUGAAGGAAAGGGAAGUGACAGGAGCUAAGCGCUGCAAAGCGGAGCCAGGGCACGGGCCGCCGUCUCCGCAGGGCUCGGGACGCAGCCCCUGGAUGGAUCUCCCUCCAAAGGUCAAAGGUAGAAGCCUGGGAACCCGGGCCCCGGGCGGAGGCGCAGCCAAGGCCGAGCCCCGCGCUGCCGGUCGGGACCCGGCACCCAGAGCCCCGCGCAGGGCGCUCGGGACCGGGACCGGGACCGGGACCGGGACCGGGACCGGGACCGGGACCAGGACCAGGACCAGAGCGGCGUCCUCCUCAGCCACUCGUCCCAUCGGACGGGCUGCAGGGCUGGGCAGGAGGCGCCGGGCGGAGGGCGCCGCCGAGACCCCGCUCCGGGAGCAGAGAGCAGGCCGGCGGCUGUCUCGGGAGAAAGCCCGCAUGUUUAGGUGUUGCUUUCAACAGGCCCACAGACAAAGGCCAGCCCGGGAGGAGUGCAGCGGGAGACGGGGAAGAAUGUGAACGCAGUCCUCUGCUACCACAAAUUAUGCAGUCGAGUUUCCCACACUUGGGGAAAUCACAGGGGUCAGCACGUCCACAGUACAAUGGCUAAGACUCGCCCUGGGAAAACCAUCUUCGUGAUCACGAAGAUGGUAUCUCCCCUGCCAGGGAGAGUUAGAAGAGAAAGACAAAGACAAAGAGAAACAUCAAUGUGAG